rnacentral:rRNA from 1 species
AGAGUUUGAUCCUGGCUCAGGAUGAACGCUAGCGACAGGCUUAACACAUGCAAGUCGAGGGGCAGCACGGGGUAGCAAUACCCCGGUGGCGACCGGCGCACGGGUGAGUAACACGUGUGCAACCAACCCCGUACCGGGAGAUAACCCGCGGAAACGUGGACUAACACCCCAUAACACCUUUCCCCGCAUGGGGGGGAGUUUAAAACCCCGGUGGUACGGGACGGGCACGCGCGACAUUAGGUAGUUGGUGAGGUAACGGCCCACCAAGCCGACGAUCAGUAGCCGGUCUGAGAGGAUGAACGGCCACACUGGAACUGAGACACGGUCCAGACUCCUACGGGAGGCA